rnacentral:piRNA from 1 species
UACCGUAUAGUAAGAAGUUCAGGUCUGA